rnacentral:rRNA from 1 species
AUUGAACGCUGGCGGCAGGCCUAACACAUGCAAGUCGAACGGUAACAGGAAGAAGCUUGCUUCUUUGCUGACGAGUGGCGGACGGGUGAGUAAUGUCUGGGAAACUGCCUGAUGGAGGGGGAUAACUACUGGAAACGGUACCUAAUACCGCAUAACGUCGCAAGACCAAAGAGGGGGACCUUCGGGCCUCUUGCCAUCGGAUGUGCCCAGAUGGGAUUAGCUAGUAGGUGGGGUAACGGCUCACCUAGGCGACGAUCCCUAGCUGGUCUGAGAGGAUGACCAGCCACACUGGAACUGAGACACGGUCCAGACUCCUACGGGAGGCAGCAGUGGGGAAUAUUGCACAAUGGGCGCAAGCCUGAUGCAGCCAUGCCGCGUGUAUGAAGAAGGCCUUCGGGUUGUAAAGUACUUUCAGCGGGGAGGAAGGGAGUAAAGUUAAUACCUUUGCUCAUUGACGUUACCCGCAGAAGAAGCACCGGCUAACUCCGUG